rnacentral:rRNA from 1 species
AUUGAACGCUGGCGGCAGGCCUAACACAUGCAAGUCGAGCGGGGACUUCGGUCCUAGCGGCGAACGGGUGAGUAAUGCUUGGGAAUCUGCCCAGUAGUGGGGGAUAACGUCCCGAAAGGGACGCUAAUACCGCAUACGUUCUACGGGAGAAAGAGGGGGAUCUUCGGACCUCUCGCUAUUGGAUGAGCCCAAGUCGGAUUAGCUAGUUGGUAGGGUAAUGGCCUACCAAGGCGACGAUCCGUAGCUGGUCUGAGAGGAUGAUCAGCCACACUGGAACUGAGACACGGUCCAGACUCCUACGGGAGGCAGCAGUGGGGAAUAUUGGACAAUGGGCGAAAGCCUGAUCCAGCCAUGCCGCGUGUGUGAAGAAGGCCUUCGGGUUGUAAAGCACUUUAAGCGGGGAGGAAGGUUCGCGGCCUAAUACGUCGCGGAAUUGACGUUACCCGCAGAAUAAGCACCGGCUAACUCUGUG